rnacentral:siRNA from 1 species
UCCACCGUUCACUCGACCUUGC